ensembl:snoRNA
GUGCAUCUAUUUGACAGACCUGGAACAGUUAAGAUCUGCUUCUAAGGUUUCCACAACAGAUGCAAGAGAAAAGAUCCUUGUGCUUUCUGUCUUUCUGAUCAUUGUAGAAGACUGAAUGGGGCAUUUCAGGA